UGCUGGUCGUUCUUCGUGUCCCAUGCUUGUUUCAUUUCUGCAGGCGUCUCUGGCACACUCCACGUUCGUCCCGCGGGCCAGGACAAGGAGGAAAAGCACAGAGUUGGUCCUAUCCACUGGCUUCUGUCGCACAGCACGGUAUCUAACAGAAUAGGAGAGUGAGAGACAGCAGGCAGCCUGUCUUCGGGUAGCCUGGGGCUGAGUCUCUGAGACACGACCCUAUUCGCCACACACAACAUGGGGGCGAUCUGGAGCCGCGCCCAACUUCCGUUUCCGGUGCUGAGGCUGCGUCAGUUCCCUUUCAGUCGCCCCGCAGCUUCCUGGAAGUGGGCAGCAGAAGCUCCCAGGUAGCUGAGAAGUUCAUGGAAUCUUCUUACUGGUACAACCUUCACUAUUGAUUGUGUUACAGUGCAAGGAGCUCAUCAGCUGGCCCAGGAGGGCUGCUUGCCCACUCAUGGUUGCCAGGAUGUUUGGCCAUCCCCAGUCCAGAGUGACCAUCUGGUGUUGUCAUCAUCAUUGAGCCCUUUGCAGCCUGACCACACUGGGGCCAGUGUUCCAGGUUUGGGAACAUUUGCUGGCAGAGCCUGUGUUUGGAAGUGAGAGCAGUGUUUAGGUAGAAACAGACACUGAAAACAGCUGCUGGCUUCUCUGCCUUGGUAAGAAGGAGCCAUGGAGGGCAUGAAGGAAAGCUGCCAAGGAUGCUGUCUUGAUCUGCUCUGAGCCAUGAUUCCUGCAUCUGAAAGGAGGAUAGAGUGAGAGCUUCAUCAACGGAGAUCCGCUCUGCUCCAUGAAUCCUGUCAUGUGCAGGUCACCACUUUUUUCGGGAGGAGAGGCCUCCAUUAUAGGCCUGAGGUCUCAGGAGCUAGCACCAGGCCUGUCUGAGGUGGAGCUGGCUCCUAGCACAGGUACCAGGGUGUAAGGGGACACUCCAACUUGGAGUUGACCCCAUCCUUGCCUCUUACCAGCUGUAUGGCCUGAGCUGGGAAUGACUGUCUCUAAGCCUGUUUCUUUAUCCGAGAACCAAGGAGAAUAAAAGUCUGUAUCUCAGAGGCUAUUGUGAAGGUUAAAUAAAUAAAAUAGUAAUA